CAAUAGCGUAUAUUAAAGUUGUUGCAGUUAAAAAGCUCGUAGUUGGAUUUCUGGUCGGAAGCUCCUGUCCUCUGAUGAGCGUACAAGUGCGUCCUACCAUCCUUCUGUUGACCUUUAAGGCUUUCGCGGCUUUCUAGGGGCUCAGAUAUUUUACCUUGAGAAAAUUAGAGUGUUUCAGGCAGGCUAGCGCCGGAAUACAUUAGCAUGGAAUAAUGGAAUAGGACUUUUGCCUCUUCUGUUGGUCAUGAGGCUCGAGUAAUGAUUAAUAGGGAUAGUUGGGGGCAUUAGUACUUAACUGUCAGAGGUGAAAUUCUCGGAUUUGUUAAAGACUAACUUAUGCGAAAGCAUUUGCCAAGGAUGUUUNCAUUA
rnacentral:rRNA from 1 species